AUAGCAGUAUAGCAGUUUAUUGGCGUUCGUACCACUUGGAGAAAUUAACAAGAUUUUAUGUUAAAAAUAACAACAAGAUACAGAUAAUACUAAUCGAUUUAUGCAAUAUAGCAGUAAAGCAGUUUAUUGGCGUUCAUACCACUUGGAGAAAUUAACAAGAUUCUAUGUUAAAAAUAACAACAAGAAACACAUAAUACUAAUCGAUUUAUGCAAUAUAGCAGUAAAGCAGUUUAUUGGCGUUCAUACCACUUGGAGAAAUUAACAAGAUUCUAUGUUAAAAAUAACAACAAGAAACACAUAAUACUAAUCGAUUUAUGCAAUAUAGCAGUAUAGCAGUUUAUUGGCGUUCGUACCACUUGGAGAAAUUAACAAGAUUUUAUGUUAAAAAUAACAACAAGAUACAGAUAAUACUAAUCGAUUUAUGCAAUAUAGCAGUAAAGCAGUUUAUUGGCGUUCAUACCACUUGGAGAAAUUAACAAGAUUCUAUGUUAAAAAUAACAACAAGAAACACAUAAUACUAAUCGAUUUAUGCAAUAUAGCAGUAAAGCAGUUUAUUGGCGUUCAUACCACUUGGAGAAAUUAACAAGAUUCUAUGUUAAAAAUAACAACAAGAAACACAUAAUACUAAUCGAUUUAUGCAAUGUA